UGUUAAUUGUCCAUUUUCCGAUCACAAUGGUAUUGACAUCAUAUAACAUCAUAUUACAUAUGCUUAGUGUUAAGGAUGUUUACUUGUGCGGAUGUCCAUUCUCACUUCAUCACGAACACAUUGUCUCAGUCUGAACUGGUGGAUGCACCAAUCCUCUUUACUCAACUAC